GUAUGUGAACCUGCGGAAGGAUCAUUAACACGUUCCAAACCUAAUCAACCAACCUGUGAACUUGUAUCUGCCUGCUGAGCGAGCUGCAUGCAGUCCGUCUCUGUCAGGCCCACUAUAUAAAUUCCUAUGGAGCUAUCUUGCCUGUCAAUCCAUCACUGAUUGAUCGAUAGGUAUAGAUCAGUCUCUCCAUAGCCAUUUAUACUAAAUUUUUUUGAACGCCCUAGUACUCCUUCUUCGGAAUGAGGACUGC
rnacentral:misc_RNA from 1 species